rnacentral:rRNA from 1 species
CGUAGGUGGCAAGCGUUGUCCGGAAUUAUUGGGCGUAAAGCGCGCGCAGGCGGUUCCUUAAGUCUGAUGUGAAAGCCCCCGGCUCAACCGGGGAAGGUCAUUGGAAACUGGGGAACUUGAGUGCAGAAGAGAAGAGCGGAAUUCCACGUGUAGCGGUGAAAUGCGUAGAGAUGUGGAGGAACACCAGUGGCGAAGGCGGCUCUUUGGUCUGUAACUGACGCUGAGGCGCGAAAGCGUGGGAAGCAAACAGGAUUAGAUACCCUGGUAGUCCACGCCGUAAACGAUGAGUGCUAAGUGUUAGAGGGUUUCCGCCCUUUAGUGCUGCAGCUAACGCAUUAAGCACUCCGCCUGGGGAGUACGGCCGCAAGGCUG